rnacentral:rRNA from 1 species
AUGUCACGCUAUUGGUGGGCUGGGUCACUGGAUAAGAAAGGAAUGCAUUGGCAAUCUUAGGACAAGAUGUGCAUAGCAAAGUCUCAGGGUGGAAUGGGAUUUCGAGACCUGGAGACUUUUAAUGACGCGUUGUUAGCAAAGCAAGCAUGGAGAAUACUUGAGAAUCCAACUAGCUUGUGUGCGCGUGUGCUUAAAGCACGAUACUUCCCUAAUGAGGAGUUUUUAACGGCGGGUUGUCCAACUAGUGCAUCCAAGAUAUGGAAAGCAAUUAUACAAGGAAGAGAGAUGUUAAAGAAGGGACUCAUCCGGAGAAUUGGUAAUGGAGAGACCACCGAGGUGUGGCAUGAUCAUUGGAUAGAAGGGACAAUAUCCAUGAAACCGAUGGGAGCACUUGAGCCAAAUUCAGUUCAGUUGGUGUCGGACCUGUUAGAUCCGACGACAAAUCAAUGGAAUACGGAUUUGAUCCGGAGCAUCUUCUAUGCACCCGACAUAGCAGCUAUUCUUGCCAUGGCAAGACCGCGAGCAGGAGGUGCAGAUGUGUGGGCAUGGGCCAGGGAGAAAUCGGGCCUUUUCACGGUCAGAUAA